AUGAGUCCGUUAUCUCUGACCUCCCGAAUCUCUGCUGCUGGGGCUAAAGCAUUAAUUAGCGAUAUAGGAAGAAACGCAGACGGACAGAAAGCUGUAGGCCAGGCGGGCGGGCGGGCCGGGCUCCGGGUCGGGCUCCGCACGGAGCCGGGCACCUGCUCGCCGCAGGCCCCGUUCCCCCCGCCGUGUCGGUGGCGGCGCCGCGGGGCGCCAGCUCCUUUGUUACCGCGGUGCGGGGGCAGAGGCCGGAGGCGGGGCCGCAGCGCUCGGGCCGGGGCGCGGCCGGCGGAGGAAAGCGGCGGCCGAGGAUGGGGCCGGGGCCGCGGCCAGGUCCGGGGCUGGGGUGGGGACCAGAACUGCGGCCCAGGCUCGGGCGCGUCGGGCACUCACCCAGGUGAGGAGGCUCUCGCCGAGCUCGGCCCGCUCCAGGCUCUCCACGUUGAACAUGUCGGGGCGCUGCCCGGCGGGGUGCUGCCGGCGCUCGCUCCCUGCCGCCCCUCGUCCCCCGCUGUCCCGUCCCGGCCGGGCCGCGGCGCGGACACGUCAGAGCGUCCCGGCGGCACCGCCCGCCCGCGCCUGCGCCCUGCGCCCGCCUCCCCUCGCUGCGCCGCGACGCUGCUGCCGGGGGGCGGGGCGGCGGCCGGCAGGCAGCGCGACGCUCCCGGAGCUGAGGUGCACGGAGCAAUCAGCCCAGGAAUGACAGUGUGACGUAGUUAAGGUUAGUGCAGAGACGGUGGUGCUUAAGGAGAGACAACGUAUGGGCUGAAAAUAGCAGCACUCUGCCUGAGAUGCAAUUGUGGAAAAUGAAUGUCCCAGAAUGAGGUAUUGUAAGACAGAGAAACUUGAAGACUGAUGAUGAGAAGAAAGCGCACAGUUAGGGAGUGUCGAGCUGGGGAGGCAUCACCCCAUGCCAGGCACUUAUGCUCAGAAGAUUUUCACAGCAGCUUAGCCUUGUAGCUUUAACAAAAGCUAUAUAAUUGUGUAACAAGCUAUACAGCACCAUGCUGUAGCUCUUUGUGUCGGCUGUUGUUCCUGUGUAAAACCUUUCCACAAAUGUCUGGUCUUUUGUUCAUUAGUAUACAUGAAAUCUGUGUCAAUAAUGACCUACUUCAGACAUGGCUCUUCGUGAGCCUGUGGUAUUCUACGUUUAGGAAAACCUACUCUUUCCGAAUGUGAAUUGGCAUUCCAGUAGUUAGACUGUGACAGCUGCGUGUGAGAAGCUGCAUGUGAGAAGCUGCGUGUGUCGCAGUUCAGGCUGAGGCACGCAUCAGGAAAAUGUAGUUUAUUGUUUCACUUCAUAUAUGCUUCAUUAUUUCAUUUUGUUUUCCACAGUGGAAGUCCAAAAAUAAAAGAACAAUGAAAGGAAUCUACCCUUCGUUCUCCAUGUUUUCUCUGCUCUUAUGGUACUUAAUUAUACCACUUACCCCUUUUAUAGUAAUGUUAGAAUGUACUAGUUUCUCUUGCUUUACUGCUGCAGAGGUGGUUCCCACAAACGUAACAAAGCUUGGCGAAAGCUCCACGGCUCGUACAGGAAUAUAUCUGGAGAGCAAAAGCAGUCAUCCUAUGGAAAAGAUGACAUUUUAUGUUAGCUGUAGACUGG
rnacentral:lncRNA from 1 species